GGAGGGUGCGAGCGUUAAUCGGGAAUUACUGGGCGUAAAGGGUGCGUAGGUUGUUUAUUAAGUUAUCUGUGAAAUUCCUGGGGGCUUAACCUGGGGCGGGGUCAGAUAAUACUGGUAGACUGGAGUAUGGGAGAGGGCAGUGGAAUUUCCGGUGUAGCGGUGAAAUGCGUAGAGAUCGGAAGGAACACCAGUGGCGAAGGCGGCUGCCUGGCCUAAUACUGACACUGAGGCACGAAAGCGUGGGUAGCAAACAGGAUUAGAUACCCUGGUAGUCCACGCUGUAAACGAUGUCAACUAGCUGUUGGUCAUAUAAAUGUGAUUAGUGGCGUAGCUAACGCGCUAAGUUGACCGCCUGGGGAGUACGGUCGCAAGAUUA
rnacentral:rRNA from 1 species